GCUGGGUGUGGUGGCGCGUGCCUGUUGUCCCAGCUACUUGGGAGGCUGAGGCGGGAGGACCACUUGAGCCCAGGAGUUCUGGGCAGUAGUGUGCUGUGCCGAUCUGGUGUCUGCACUAACUGUGGCAUCGAUAUGGUGACCUCCCAGGAGCAGAAGACCAGCAGGUUGCCUAAGGAGGGGUGAACCAGCCCCAGUCAGAAACAGAGCAGAUCAAAACUCCUGUACUGAUCAGUAGUGGGAUCAUGCCUGUGAAUAGCCUGGGUAACAUAGCCACGUCCCAUCUCU
rnacentral:SRP_RNA from 1 species